rnacentral:rRNA from 1 species
CGAUGCAGCGACGCCGCGUGAGCGAUGAAGCCCUUCGGGGUGUAAAGCUCUUCGGCAGGAAAGAUCAUGACGGUACCUGCAGAAGAAGCUGCGGCUAACUACGUGCCAGCAGCCGCGGUAAUACGUAGGCAGCGAGCGUUGUUCGGAGUUACUGGGCGUAAAGAGUGUGUAGGCGGUUUGCCAAGUUCGGUGUGAAAUCUCCCGGCUUAACUGGGAGGGUGCGCCGAAUACUGGCAGGCUAGAGUGCGGGAGAGGAAAGCGGAAUUCCUGGUGUAGCGGUGAAAUGCGUAGAUAUCAGGAGGAACACCUGCGGUGUAGACGGCUUUCUGGACCGCCACUGACGCUGAGACACGAAAGCGUGGGUAGCAAACAGGAUUAGAUACCCUGGUAGUCCACGCCCUAAACGAUGCACACUUGGUGUGGGCAGUUCAUUCUGUCCGUGCCGUAGUUAACGCGUUAAGUGUGCCGCCUGGGGAGUACGGUCGCAAGGCUG